GUGGAAGGUUCUAUAAUCGCACAGAUGAUUAAUUCAGAAACUUCAAACUUUGCCGAGUUCUACUUUCCAGCAGAAGUGCAGACCAAAAACAGAAGAACUGCUCGACAUGAUGAUAGAGGUGAACGGGCAACAUAUCAUGUUACGGUUCCAGACAUCUUCACAGAUGUUGGACGACUUAGCGGAAAACCAAAGGACCGUCGACUUACUGAGCAGGAACGCAGUCAUUUGCAAACAUAUUUGCUCACCAACUGCGAAGAUGUUCUUCAAUAUGAGAGGAUUUUCAUGGCAGAAAAGCGGUUCGAAUAUAGAUAAGCCACAGAGGAGGAACU